AACGAACGCUGGCGGCAGGCUUAACACAUGCAAGUCGAACGCAUCCUUCGGGGUGAGUGGCAGACGGGUGAGUAACGCGUGGGAACGUGCCCUUCAGUUCGGGAUAACCCAGGGAAACUUGGGCUAAUACCGGAUACGUGCGAGAGCAGAAAGAUUUAUCGCUGAAGGAUCGGCCCGCGUCUGAUUAGCUAGUUGGUGGGGGAAUGGCCCACCAAGGCGACGAUCAGUAGCUGGUCUGAGAGGAUGAUCAGCCACAUUGGGACUGAGACACGGCCCAAACUCCUACGGGAGGCAGCAGUGGGGAAUAUUGGACAAGGGGCGCAAGCCUGAUCCAGCCAUGCCGCGUGAGUGAUGAAGGCCUUAGGGUUGUAAAGCUCUUUCGUCCGGGACGAUAAUGACGGUACCGGAAGAAGAAGCCCCGGCUAACUUCGUGCCAGCCGCCGCCGUAAUAC
rnacentral:rRNA from 1 species